rnacentral:rRNA from 1 species
AUUGAACGCUGGCGGCAGGCCUAACACAUGCAAGUCGAGCGGUAGCACAGAGAGCUUGCUCUCGGGUGACGAGCGGCGGACGGGUGAGUAAUGUCUGGGAAACUGCCUGAUGGAGGGGGAUAACUACUGGAAACGGUAGCUAAUACCGCAUAACGUCGCAAGACCAAAGUGGGGGACCUUCGGGCCUCAUGCCAUCAGAUGUGCCCAGAUGGGAUUAGCUAGUAGGUGGGGUAACGGCUCACCUAGGCGACGAUCCCUAGCUGGUCUGAGAGGAUGACCAGCCACACUGGAACUGAGACACGGUCCAGACUCCUACGGGAGGCAGCAGUGGGGAAUAUUGCACAAUGGGCGCAAGCCUGAUGCAGCCAUGCCGCGUGUGUGAGGAAGGCCUUCGGGUUGUAAAGCACUUUCAGCGGGGAGGAAGGCGAUAAGGUUAAUAACCUUGUCGAUUGACGUUACCCGCAGAAGAAGCACCGGCUAACUCCGUGCCAGCAGCCGCGGUAAUACGGAGGGUGCAAGCGUUAAUCGGAAUUACUGGGCGUAAAGCGCACGCAGGCGGUCUGUCAAGUCGGAUGUGAAAUCCCCGGGCUCAACCUGGGAACUGCAUUCGAAACUGGCAGGCUAGAGUCUUGUAGAGGGGGGUAGAAUUCCAGGUGUAGCGGUGAAAUGCGUAGAGAUCUGGAGGAAUACCGGUGGCGAAGGCGGCCCCCUGGACAAAGACUGACGCUCAGGUGCGAAAGCGUGGGGAGCAAACAGGAUUAGAUACCCUGGUAGUCCACGCCGUAAACGAUGUCGAUUUGGAGGUUGUGCCCUUGAGGCGUGGCUUCCGGAGCUAACGCGUUAAAUCGACCGCCUGGGGAAUACGGCCGCAAGGUUAAAACUCAAAUGAAUUGACGGGGGCCCGCACAAGCGGUGGAGCAUGUGGUUUAAUUCGAUGCAACGUGAAGAACCUUACCUGGUCUUGACAUCCACAGAACUUAGCAGAGAUGCUUUGGUGCCUUCGGGAACUGUGAGACAGGUGCUGCAUGGCUGUCGUCAGCUCGUGUUGUGAAAUGUUGGGUUAAGUCCCGCAACGAGCGCAACCCUUAUCCUUUGUUGCCAGCGGUUAGGCCGGGAACUCAAAGGAGACUGCCAGUGAUAAACUGGAGGAAGGUGGGGAUGACGUCAAGUCAUCAUGGCCCUUACGACCAGGGCUACACACGUGCUACAAUGGCAUAUACAAAGAGAAGCGACCUCGCGAGAGCAAGCGGACCUCAUAAAGUAUGUCGUAGUCCGGAUUGGAGUCUGCAACUCGACUCCAUGAAGUCGGAAUCGCUAGUAAUCGUAGAUCAGAAUGCUACGGUGAAUACGUUCCCGGGCCUUGUACACACCGCCCGUCACACCAUGGGAGUGGGUUGCAAAAGAAGUAGGUAGCUUAACCUUCGGGAGGGCGCUUACCACUUUGUGAUUCAUGACUGGGGUGA